CCUACGGGGGGCUGCAGUAGGGAAUCUUCCGCAAUGGACGAAAGUCUGACGGAGCAACGCCGCGUGAGCGAAGAAGGUCUUCGGAUCGUAAAGCUCUGUUGUUAGGGAAGAACAAGUACGGGAGGAAAUGACCGUACCUUGACGGUACCUGACGAGGAAGCCACGGCUAACUACGUGCCAGCAGCCGCGGUAAUACGUAGGUGGCAAGCGUUGUCCGGAAUUAUUGGGCGUAAAGCGCGCGCAGGCGGUCUUUUAAGUCUGAUGUGAAAUCUUGCGGCUCAACCGCAAGCGGUCAUUGGAAUCUGUGGGAAUUGGGUGGCGAGGAGGAGAGCGGGAUUCAACGUUUGGAGGUGAAAUGCGUAGAGAUGUGGAAGAACACCAGUGGCGAAGGCGGCUUUCUGGUCUGUAACUGACGCUGAGGCGCGAAAGCGUGGGGAGAAAACAGGAUUAGAUACCCUUGUAGUC
rnacentral:rRNA from 1 species